GGAAUUUUCGGCAAUGGGCGGAAGCCUGACCGAGCAAUGCCGCGUGAAUGAAGAAGUAUUUCGGUAUGUAAAGUUCUUUUAUUUGGGAAGAAAAAACAAAUUGACGGUACCAAAUGAAUAAGCUCCGGCUAACUACGUGCCAGCAGCCGCGGUAAUACGUAGGGAGCGAGCGUUAUCCGGAUUUAUUGGGCGUAAAGGGUGCGUAGACGGCAUGGGAAGUCCUUUGUUAAAAUGCUUGGCUCAACCAAGUAGUGCAAAGGAGACUCUCAAGCUAGAGUGUGAUAGAGGUAAGUGGAACUCCAUGUGUAGCGGUAAAAUGCGUAAAUAUAUGGAAGAACACCAGUGGCGAAAGCGGCUUACUAGAUCAACACUGACGUUGAGGCACGAAAGCGUGGGGAGCAAACA
rnacentral:rRNA from 1 species